GUGGAACUCUGCGGGAGCAUGUGUAAGCAACUAGGUGCCUAGGAGGUCUGAGGCACUGGUUUCCAGGACUAAAGAGGCUGGACUGCAGAAUCUUCAAUGACACAAAGGGUUCAGACAAGAGGUUUGAGCCUGGGAGUGCACCCUAGAGUCCCAGAGCUAGCAACAGUGAUUAGAUUCUAUCUGGAUCCAGUUGGCUUAGAAGCACAUGGGACCCAGCAUGUGGGUCCUCUCAUAACAGACUGGUGUCUAUUCAGAGGAGCACUGGAUCAGGGCCAUCUGUGUCUGUUUAGUGCAACUUUGUGAGCAAGCUGAAUACAAAGAAAAUCUUCCCGUGCAACCCUCCCCAUUCUCCAAAAAAAGAGAGAGGCUGUCCUUUUUAGCCCAUCACUUGUCUAUGGUUGAUUGUCUCCAAAUCUAUAGCACUGUUUGAGAAAUAGUUUUGUGUAACUAACUCAGACACUUCUCCAGAUUAGCAAGGAUACUAAUUAAUAACACGUAAUUACAGCACAGUAAUAGCAAAAAGAGGUUUAUGAUUUAUUCUACUUUCCAACUUGCAACCAAAAGCCAAAGUACAACAUCCACUUCUCUUUACUAAUAGGUAUUCUAGAUUUUUUGGGUCAGAAUCAAUGGCAUCUCAUGACAGCUCAAUAAGUUUUAUAUGCAGAUCAAGGCAAGUCAAGAUCCUCAGGCCUGGCUCAAAUUGUCAGCCCCAAAUCUGGCCCAGUCCGUUGCUUCUCUAAUGAUACAUCUAACAAAGGUGCAAUUUGGGGGAAGAGUGAUUUUGUAAUAUAGACACCUAUACACUAGGAACUGGACUAAGACCACCAGUUCAUGUAGGACAGACGCCAAUGGUGAUGGGAUAGGGGUAUAGAGGUGUGACACUGAGUCAGAAAGGGUUAAGCAACCAGCAGGCUAACGUGACCCAGAUCAACCUUUAAGAACAUAUUAGAGAAGUAUUGAAAUGGUAAACAGGGCCGUUUCUUGUAGAUAGUUAUCAAAGCCAUGUUACAUAGGCCAGAGUGUUUGAAAUGCAAGUUUGUAUUGCCACAAUGUAUAUUACCUGUUCUUUGUCCAAGGCAUACCUCCUGUGACCUGCCCCAAGAGGCUACUGUAACCUGCCAGAGAGCUAUAAAAGAACUAUGGGACCUGAUCCUUUUUUCAUCUCAGAUCUGCUUAAGCUUGGUCAAGGGAAGCUUGAGUCGCAAGACAGGUCUCCAGUUCCAGUCUGGAUUACCCUGCUAUUUCUCACAGAAAGAUUUAAAAAGACUCUGCACAUGGACUGCCUAUUGGAUUAUAAUCUAUGGAACUGAUUCUGGAAAAACUUUCUACAAAUCAGCAGCUCACCAUCUCUACUAUGAAACUGACUCAAGAACUUUAUUCAUAUCUGCAUUUAUAAUGAUAUUUUAACCACAGUAACUCUCUUUCUUUUUAAAUAAAUCUUAGUUUAGUU